AGUAGCGGCGAGCGAGCGGGAAGAGCUCAAAUUUAUAAUCUGGCACCUUCGGUGUCCGAGUUGUAAUCUCUAGAAAUGUUUUCCGCGUUGGACCGCACACAAGUCUGUUGGAAUACAGCGGCAUAGUGGUGAGACCCCCGUAUAUGGUGCGGACGCCCAGCGCUUUGUGAUACAUUUUCGAAGAGUCGAGUUGUUUGGGAAUGCAGCUCAAAUUGGGUGGUAAAUUCCAUCUAAAGCUAAAUAUUGGCGAGAGACCGAUAGCGAACAAGUACCGUGAGGGAAAGAUGAAAAGCACUUUGGAAAGAGAGUUAACAGUACGUGAAAUUGUUGGAAGGGAAACGCUUGAAGUCAGACUUGCUUGCCGAGCAAUCGGUUUGCAGGCCAGCAUCAGUUUUCCGGGAUGGAUAAUGGUAGAGAGAAGGUAGCAGUUUCGGCUGUGUUAUAGCUCUCUGCUGGAUACAUCUUGGGGGACUGAGGAACGCAGUGUGCCUUUGGCGGGGGUUUCGACCUCUUCACACUUAGGAUGCUGGUGGAAUGGCUUUAAACGACCCGU
rnacentral:rRNA from 1 species